CCUACGGGCGGCAGCAGUGGGGAAUAUUGCACAAUGGGGGAAACCCUGAUGCAGCGACGCCGCGUGAGUGAAGAAGUAAUUCGUUAUGUAAAGCUCUAUCAGCAGGGAAGAAAAUGACGGUAUCUGAGUUAGAAGCCCCGGCUAACUAGGGGCCAGCAGCCGCGGUAAUACGUAGGGGGCAAGCGUUAUCCGGAUUUACUGGGUGUAAGGGGAGCGUAGACGGCAGGGCAAGUCUGGGGUGAAAGGCGGGGGCUCAACCCCCGGACUGCACUGGAAACUGUACGGCUGGAGUGCAGGAGAGGUAAGUGGAAUUCCUAGUGUAGCGGUGAAAUGCGUAGAUAUUAGGAAGAACACCAGUGGCGAAGGCGGCUUACUGGACUGUAACUGACGGUGAGGCUCGAAAGCGUGGGGAGCAAACAGGAUUAGAUACCCUUGUAGUC
rnacentral:rRNA from 1 species